UACGGAGGGAGCAAGCGUUACUCGGAAUUACUGGGCGUAAAGGGCGCGUAGGCGGUCUUGUAAGUCCUGUGUGAAAGCCCCGGGCCUAACCCGGGAAGUGCACGGGAAACUGUGAGACUUGAGUGCAGGAGAGGAAGGCAGAAUUCCCGGUGUAGCGGUGAAAUGCGUAGAUAUCGGGAGGAAUACCAGCGGCGAAGGCGGCCUUCUGGACUGCAACUGACGCUGAGGCGCGAAAGCCAGGGGAGCAAAC
rnacentral:rRNA from 1 species